AUCGCUGCUUGCAGCUUUAAUUAUUAUUAUUAUUUGUACGUGUCACGGGUUAUAAAAGGUGACGAGGGGGAGGUGACGCAAGGGUUUUUUUGUUUGGAGCGCGCUGACCGACGGCGGACUCAGAACGGCAGCAAUCCGGCGACUUUCUAUUUUGAAUUCAUACCAACGCGCGGGAUCACUAAUAGAAGACUGCGCAGGAACACUGUGAACUGGCCCAGCACCUACCGGACUAGGGUGAAGUAGCGCGGGGAUUGAACGUGGCGCUUCGUCUCUGCCUGGUCGAUCAGCUGUUUGCCGGCUUUUGGGGGGGGGGGGGGUGCGCGCGUGCAGUCAUUUCCUUUUGUUUUGGGGGACUGCAAAUGUGGAGUACGUGUGAUCGAAUACAAUAUUGUUGACAACACCAAAAAGCUACAUAAAAAAGCUACCCUUAUACUGUAGCUGCGAGCGUGGGGUGGCACUAUAUGACAUUGCGUAAUCACUGCCAGAAAGCAGGUCAAGUACAUCCGCCGGAUGUACCGGGCGGCUCCAGAAUCUUACAUAGCGGAGUUAUUUCCCACAGACCCCCGAUGGCAAUAGCGGAGCCGCAAAUCGUCAUUUUCAAAGUCAUUGUAGCGGCACAAUUUUUUUCAAGCUGUUAUUUUAAGGUCCAAAAGUUACAUAGUGUUGCUUUAAGGUCCACUAAAUCGGCUUCAUCCGUGAGUUAUACCCAGUUACCAUUUAUAUUAACAUGUUUACGUUAAUAUGUCUUUGUUUUGAAUACAGUUUUGGUUAUUAUUAGUUAAUGGUCAAACACUUAAUGAUGUACAAUUGUAUUUACAAAAGCAUAUGAUUUGUGCUCUUUUUCAGUUUUACAAAUUAUUACAUUUUCCUGCAUUAAAUCUGACAAAUACAACAACUGUCUGUUCCUUGGAGAAUUCGGUGCUGGAUAAUGUAUUGUCAAGCUGGCUGUUUAGCUGAAGAACACGUUUAAACAACAACCUUUAGCGAGAACAGUACAAUGUAUUAGCUGAUUAGCGGAUUAGCUCCGCUCGGCCGACCACCUGCGCCCUUGACCCCGUCCCGUCUCCCAUUCUUCAGGCUAUUGCUCCUGACCUUCUGACCUUUCUCACCCAUCUUAUUAACAGCUCCCUCUCAACUGGCUGUUUCCCUAACUCUCUGAAGGAGGCGAGAGUCAACCCUCUCCUGAAGAAACCCACGCUCGACCCAUCUGAAUAACAGCCUUCUUGACCCUCACCAUUCUGGAUUCAAGGCCGGACACUCAACAGAGACUGCCCUCCUUGCUGUCUCCGAGCAGCUUAACACUGCUAGAGCAGCCUCUCUCUCCUCUGUCCUUAUCCUUCUAGACCUUUCUGCAGCAUUUGACACCGUGAACCACCAGAUCCUUAUCUCUUCUCUUCAGGACCUGGGGAUCUCAGGCACUGCACUCGCUCUUUUCUCUUCCUACCUUAACGACCGCACUUACCGGGUAACUUGGAAAGGAUCUGUGUCUGAUCCUUGUCCUCUCACUACUGGGGUUCCUCAAGGCUCCGUCCUGGGUCCCCUGCUCUUCUCUCUGUACACAAAUUCUCUCGGCUCUGUCAUUCGUUCGCAUGGCUUCUCCUACCAUAGCUAUGCCGAUGACACCCAACUGAUCCUCUCGUUUCCACCGUCCGAAACACAGGUGGCGGCGCGAAUCUCUGCCUGUCUGACCGACAUCUCUCAGUGGAUGUCUGCACACCACCUGAAAAUCAACCCUGACAAGACCGAGCUACUAUUCCUUCCAGGGAAAGGCUCCCCCACCCAUGACCUGACUACCACCUUCAACAGCUCCGUGUUGGCCCCUACCCUGACUGCCAGGAACCUCGGGGUGACACUCGACAGUCAACUCUCCCUGACGGCCAACAUCGCUGCGACGACGCGUUCCUGUAGGUACAUGCUGCACAACAUCAGGAGAAUACGGCCUCUUCUUACUCAGAAGGCGGCGCAGGUUCUGAUCCAGGCUCUGGUCAUUUCACGCCUUGACUACUGCAACUCCCUCCUGGCUGGUCUACCUGCUAAGGCCAUCCGACCCCUGCAGCUCAUCCAGAAUGCAGCAGCUCGACUGGUCUUCAGUCUCCCGAAAUUCACCCACACCACUCCGCUCCUCCGCUCUCUCCACUGGUUACCGGUGGCUGCUCGCAUCCGCUUCAAAACAUUGGUUCUGGCGUACCGCGCUCUGAACGGAUCGGGCCCCGCGUCUACAUUCGGGAUAUGGUCACACCGUACACCCCGGCACGUUCGCUCCGCUCGGCAACAGCGUAAUCGACUUGUGCCUCCUGCACCUCGAGCUAAUCACUCGAAAUCCAGACUGUUUUCUGUCCUGGCUCCUCAGUGGUGGAACGAGCUCCCCACUGACAUCAGGACAGCAGGAAGUCUCUACAUCUUCCGCCGGAGACUAAAAACACAUCUUUUCCGACUAUAUCUGGAUUAAAACACAGAUUUGCACUUCAGUGGCACUUAAAUAGCACUUACUUAUGGUACUUUUGUAGUUCGACUAUGUUAUGAAAUGUUACUUCCUGUAUUCUUGUUGUUCUUAGUUUAUACUCUAGGUUGAAAUGCACUUAUUGUAAGUCGCUUUGGAUAAAAGCUUCUGCUAAAUGACAUGUAAUGUAAUGUAAUGUACAUAUUUCACCAUUGAGACGAGAGUUUUGGGACACAAACAUGAGCUUUGAGUUGAGAGGCAUUGUAAAGAAUUGACUCUGCCAAUGGUUGAUGCUGGUUUUGAUGUUGGUGGUUACUUUUUAGUUUGAGCUGAUUUAACAAACAACGUUUCUCUCCGGCUAUCUGGCAGUGUUUGACAAUAUUUUGACAAUAAUCGGUUGAUUGUCUGAUGCUAUUGUGAAAUGUGAUUAUGAGAAAUCACAAAGCAGGGUUUGAUUGAGUCUUAAUAUUAUGGUUUAGUUAAACCUCCUGACAUUAACACAUGUCUGUAAAUUGCAAAACAUCACACAUUGAUAAUUUAAAUUCUUAAAAUAUUUUGUAUUCUUGUCAUUGUAAAGUUUCUGACAGUAAUUGUAUGAACAACAAACAGCCGCACAGAAUACUGGUAUUCACAAAAUAUAUGAAUACAUUUUAUAUUAAUAAAAAAAGAUUUGACAUGUUUUAUGAAAAUGAAGUUCCCCCAGAACUAAAACGUAAUUUGAAAUUACAUUUACCUGAAAGGUAUUUCUCCCCCGAUUACGUUUGUAUUUGACAUCUUACAAAUACGUUUCUAAUCAACAUAUAUUUGCCGUUUGUUGUCUUGCUUUUCUACAAUGCGUUUAUUAAUUAAAAAAAGGGUACUCAAUUA